rnacentral:rRNA from 1 species
GACGAACGCUGGCGGCGUGCCUAACACAUGCAAGUCGAGCGGGAGACUUCGGUCUCUAGCGGCGGACGGGUGAGUAACACGUGGGUAACCUGCCUUGUAGAGGGGGAUAGCCUUCCGAAAGGAAGAUUAAUACCGCAUAACAUUAUGCUAUCGCAUGAUAGUAUAAUCAAAGGAGCAAUCCGCUACAAGAUGGACCCGCGGCGCAUUAGCUAGUUGGUGAGGUAACGGCUCACCAAGGCAACGAUGCGUAGCCGGCCUGAGAGGGUGAACGGCCACAUUGGAACUGAGACACGGUCCAGACUCCUACGGGAGGCAGCAGUGGGGAAUAUUGCACAAUGGGCGAAAGCCUGAUGCAGCAACGCCGCGUGAGUGAUGAAGGCCUUCGGGUUGUAAAGCUCUGUNUUCUGGGAACGAUAAUGACGGUACCAGAGGA